rnacentral:rRNA from 1 species
GCUCGCUUGCUCUGCCGGCGACCGGCGCACGGGUGAGUAACACGUAUGCAACCUGCCCUCCGCAGGGGGAUAACCCGGAGAAAUCCGGACUAAUACCGCGUGGUACACUUGUGGGGCAUCCCACGGGUGUUAAAAGGAAGUGAUUCCGGCGGAGGAUGGGCAUGCGGCGCAUUAGCUGGUUGGCGGGGUAACGGCCCACCAAGGCGACGAUGCGUAGGGGUUCUGAGAGGAAGGUCCCCCACACUGGUACUGAGACACGGACCAGACUCCUACGGGAGGCAGCAGUGAGGAAUAUUGGUCAAUGGGCGGGAGCCUGAACCAGCCAAGUCGCGUGAGGGAAGACGGUCCUAUGGAUUGCAAACCUCUUUAGGCGGGGAGCAAUGCCGGGCACGCGUGCCCGGAGGGAGAGUACCCGCAGAAUAAGCAUCGGCUAACUCCGUGCCAGCAGCCGCGGUAAUACGGAGGAUGCGAGCGUUAUCCGGAUUUAUUGGGUUUAAAGGGUGCGUAGGCGGAUUUUUAAGUCAGCGGUAAAAUGUCCGGGCUCAACCCGGGCCGGCCGUUGAAACUGGGGAUCUUGAGUGGGCGAGAAGUAUGCGGAACGCGUGGUGUAGCGGUGAAACGCAUAGAUAUCACGCAGAACUCCGAUUGCGAAGGCAGCAUACCGGCGCCCGACUGACGCU